rnacentral:rRNA from 1 species
GACGAACGCUGGCGGCGUGCUUAACACAUGCAAGUCGAACGGGAACCUUUAUUUCGGUAAAGGUGAGAGUGGCAAACGGGUGAGUAACACGUAGGCAACCUGCCGACAGGAUGGGGACAACAUUCCGAAAGGAAUGCUAAUACCGAAUGGAGUCCGAGGAUGGCAUCAUCCUUGGAUCAAAGAUGGCCUCUGAAUAUGCUAUCGCCUGUCGAUGGGCCUGCGUCUGAUUAGCCAGUUGGCGGGGUAACGGCCCACCAAAGCGACGAUCAGUAGCCGGUCUGAGAGGAUGAACGGCCACAUUGGGACUGAGACACGGCCCAGACUCCUACGGGAGGCAGCAGUGGGGAAUCUUCCACAAUGGGCGAAAGCCUGAUGGAGCAACGCCGCGUGAGUGAAGAAGGUCUUCGGAUCGUAAAGCUCUGUUGCACGGGACGAAAACUGGGUUUGAGAACUUUGAACCCGGGGG